rnacentral:rRNA from 1 species
UCCAUGAGUAAAGUGGCGCACGGGUGAGUAACACGUGACUAACCUACCCUUGAGUGGGGAAUAACCUAGAGAAAUCUGGGCUAAUACCGCAUAACACCUACGGGUCAAAGGAGCAAUUCGCUUAAGGAGGGGGUCGCGGCAGAUUAGCUAGUUGGCGGGGUAAUGGCCCACCAAGGCGGUGAUCUGUAUCCGGCCUGAGAGGGCGCACGGACACACUGGAACUGAAACACGGUCCAGACUCCUACGGGAGGCAGCAGUGGGGAAUUUUGCGCAAUGGGGGAAACCCUGACGCAGCAACGCCGCGUGGAGGAUGAAGUCCCUUGGGACGUAAACUCCUUUCGAUCGGGACGAUUAUGACGGUACCGAGAGAAGAAGCCCCGGCUAACUUCGUGCCAGCAGCCGCGGUAAUACGAGGGGGGCGAGCGUUGUUCGGAAUUAUUGGGCGUAAAGGGUGCGUAGGCGGUUCGGUAAGUCUUAUGUGAAAUCUUCGGGCUCAACUCGAAGUCUGCAUGAGAAACUGCCGGGCUUGAGUGUGGGAGAGGUGAGUGGAAUUUCCGGUGUAGCGGUGAAAUGCGUAGAUAUCGGAAGGAACACCUGUGGCGAAAGCGGCUCACUGGACCACAACUGACG